AAUAUUGGACAAUGGGGGCAACCCUGAUCCAGCCAUGCCGCGUGUGUGAAGAAGGUCUUCGGAUUGUAAAGCACUUUAAGUUGGGAGGAAGGGCUUUAGGUUAAUACCCUGAAGUUUUGACGUUACCAACAGAAUAACCACCGUCUAACUCUGUGCCAGCAGCCGCGGUAAUACAGAGGGUGCAAGCGUUAAUCGGAAUUACUGGGCGUAAAGCGCGCGUAGGUGGUUCAGUAAGCUGGGUGUGAAAUCCCCGGGGUUAACCUGGGAACUGGUUUUAUAACUGCUGGGCUGAGGUACGGUAGAGGGUAGUGGAAUUUCCUGUGUAGCGGUGAAAUGCGUAGAUAUAGGAAGGAACACCAGUGGCGAAGGCGACUACCUGGACUGAUACUGACACUGAGGUGCGAAAGCGUGGGGAGCAAAC
rnacentral:rRNA from 1 species